UACAGAGGUCUCAAGCGUUGUUCGGAUUCAUUGGGCGUAAAGGGUGUGUAGGUGGCGCGCUAAGUCGGGUGUGAAAUUUCGGAGCUUAACUCCGAAACUGCAUUCGAUACUGGCGUGCUUGAGGACUGGAGAGGAGACUGGAAUUCAUGGUGUAGCAGUGAAAUGCGUAGAGAUCAUGAGGAGACCAGUGCGAAGCGGGUCUCUGGACAGUUCUGACACUGAGACACGAAGCCAGGGGGGAGCAAACGGG
rnacentral:rRNA from 1 species